ensembl:lncRNA
CCCAAAGCCAAUCAGUGCAUGUCAAGCAAAUAAAUCCAUGAAUAAACUUCUCUCUAUUUUCCAGGCAUUUUCUCUCUGAGGUAUCUGAGUGCCUGGCUUGUCCCCCUGGCCUUUUCUGUGGUUCCUCUGGCCUUUCUGCCCCCUCAGGACCCUGCUCCUCUGGCUACUUCUGUCUGGCAGGUGCCUCCUCACCACUCCUCAAAGGAACCUCAGAGCAAGGAGGCCCUUGUCCCUUGGGCCACUUCUGUCCCAAAGGGUCCAGCCUCCCCCAGCCCUGCCUGGCUGGCACCUACAACAACCUCUCUGGUCAAGAAGCCUGCUUCCCUUGUCCUGCUGGCUACUUCUGCCCUGAAAAUGUUAGUGACUAUAGUCCAUACCCCUGCCUACCUGGCUUCUACUGUCCUAAAGGUAA